GCGGCCGCGGGUGCUGCCGGGGGGCGCGGCGGGCGCAGCAGAGCGGCGGGCGGCGGCGGCGUCGUCGAGCGCAGACAAUACAAGCGCCUCGGACCGAGUCCCCGAACCUGCCCUAGCCAAAAUGGCGGCCGAGAAAGAGCGGAAGUGACGUUAAAGAGGCUUUUGUAUACUGGAGAUAUAACCAAAAAAGGUCUAAGGUGACUUUACGCAGAGAUUGAAGGAUGAGCAGCAGAUGGUCAUCAAGGAGCAUGGAAACAGCAUUUCAGGCAAAGGAAAAUGGAACUCUGUGAACUCAGAAGCAUGCUAUGGCAUGGAAAGCAAAAAGGAAGGAGCACAAGGCAGAGGUCAGAAAGGGAGGCAGGGGCCAACAAACACAUAGGGGCUUGAGGGACAAGGGAAGGAACUUGGAUUUUUCCCUAGAUGUUAGUGGGAACUCCCUGAACUCCCUGAACUGGAGGGACAAUAAUCUGAUUCUGUUUUUAUGUAUCUAGCUUAAACUCAGAACAGCUUCCAAAAUCUUAUUCACAGAGGUUUUGUGGUCUUUUGGGCUAAGAAUUUAAUUAUAUUGCCUACAAACAAAUAUAACUGUGUAUAUUUUACUAACAUUUAACUAAAUUCUUAUCUUACUGUAUUAACAUUUCCAUGUUUAAUGAUAGCUAGCAUGCCUGUAUUAAUGCAUGUAUUGGAAAUGAUUCAGCAUUUCACUAUUUGGUGUGGUAUUUGUAUUAGGACUGGGUUAUUUUUAUUAUGCUUAAGAGGUUUCCUUCUAUUCUUAAAGUUUUAACUAGAAAAUGGUAGUAAAUAAUAUCUCCUUUAGCAUCUACAGACUUAACCACACUACUUUGUUAACAUAAUGAAUGAAUUAUAAGUGAUUACCAAUAAUGAGCCAUUCUGGCAUUCCUGGAAUAAACCCUUUUGUUCACGGUG
rnacentral:lncRNA from 10 species